GCCAGACUCCUACGGGAGGCAGCAGUGGGGGAUAUUGCACAAUGGGGGGAACCCUGAUGCAGCGACGCCGCGUGGGUGAAGAAGUAUUUCGGUAUGUAAAGCCCUAUCGGCAGGGAAGAAAUUGGACGGUACCUGACUAAGAAGCCCCGGCUAACUACGUGCCAGCAGCCGCGGUAAUACGUAGGGGGCAAGCGUUAUCCGGAUUCACUGGGUGUAAAGGGAGCGUAGACGGCCAUGCAAGCCUGGAGUGAAAGCCCGGGGCCCAACCCCGGGACUGCUCUGGGAACUGUGCGGCUGGAGUGCGGGAGGGGCAGGCGGAAUUCCUGGUGUAGCGGUGAAAUGCGUAGAUAUCAGGAGGAACACCGGCGGCGAAGGCGGCCUGCUGGACCGCGACUGACGUUGAGGCUCGAAAGCGUGGGGAGCAAACAGGAUUAGAUACCCCGGUA
rnacentral:rRNA from 1 species